GCCUUCAGCUCACCUGGCAGGUGGGUCCCUUAAUGGCCACCUGGUGUCUACUUAAGGCAGAGGAGGCCAGGCAGGAGCAGAGCAGCAGGCUGGGUUUCAGCUGGUGUGGUGCUGGUUCUGGAUUGUUUCCUCUUCGUUCUCCAGAUCAUUUGUUCCACCAGGUGGGAUCCUUCGUGGCUCUCCAGAUUGGUUCAUCUCAGCCUGGUUCUGAUGUGAAAUCUGGUGUCCUUCGACAGCUCUUUUCAUUGAUCCUGGUGGGGAGUCUGACUGUUUAGGGAUGGGGACAGGUCAACAGGUGCAUUAUUACAGAUAACAGAAGAUCAAAGAGCUUUUGGUAAAUCUUGCUGUUUUCAGGAGAUAAAUCCUCAU